rnacentral:rRNA from 1 species
GGAUUGUAGGCUGCAGCUCGCCUACAUGAAGUCGGAAUUGCUAGUAAUCGCGGAUCAGCAUGCCGCGGUGAAUACGUUCCCGGGCCUUGUACACACCGCCCGUCACACCAUGGGAGUCGGUAACACCCGAAGCCUGUAGUCUAACCGCAAGGAGGACGCAGUCGAAGGUGGGAUUGAUGACUGGGGUGAAGUCGUAACAAGGUAGC